UACGGGAGGCAGCAGGGAGGAAUAUUGGACAAUGGGUGGAAGCCUGAUCCAGCCAUCCCGCGUGAAGGAAUAAGGGCCUAUGGCUUGUAAACUUCUUUUGUACAGGGAUAAACCUACCCUCGUGAGGGUAGCUGAAGGUACUGUACGAAUAAGCACCGGCUAACUCCGUGCCAGCAGCCGCGGUAAUACGGAGGGUGCAAGCGUUAUCCGGAUUUAUUGGGUUUAAAGGGUCCGUAGGCGGGCUUAUAAGUCAGUGGUGAAAGCCGGCAGCUUAACUGUCGAACUGCCAUUGAUACUGUAAGUCUUGAGUAUAUUUUGAGGUAGCUGGAAUAAGUAGUGUAGCGGUGAAAUGCAUAGAUAUUACUUAGAACACCAAUUGCGAAGGCAGGUUACCAAGUUAUAACUGACGCUGAUGGACGAAAGCGUGGGGAGCGAACAGGGAUUAGAUACC
rnacentral:rRNA from 1 species